rnacentral:lncRNA from 1 species
AGACCCGCAUCCCGUUUAGUCUCUUCUCUCUUCUUCUUUCUCUCUUACAGUAAUAUCCUCCACCACUUGCAAGCCCAGCCAAGCACUCAAGGGUUCACCUGCCCAGCCAACCAGAGGUCCUUUCCAUGUCAAACCUAUGCCUUCUACCGAGCCUCAGCUCCUAACUUCCUUGACCUUGCCUCAAUCGGUGACCUUUUCUCGGUUAGCCGCCUUAUGAUAUCAAAACCAAGUAACAUCUCCUCUCCAACCUCACCUCUCAUCCCCAAUCAACCCCUCUUUGUCCCUUUAUCAUGUUCUUGCAACACCAUCAAUAUUAGCACUAGCAUUUCCUCUGCAAAUAUCACAUAUACCAUCAAGGAAGGCAACACUUUCUACAUUGUCUCGACUAAAUACUUCCAAAACCUUACGACCUACCAGUCAGUUGAGCUUUUCAACCCUACACUUAUCCCCGAACUACUCGACAUAGGAGUAGAGGUGAUCUUUCCAAUAUUUUGCAAGUGUCCUCAUCAAACCCAGUUGCAAAACAAGGUGAAUUAUCUGGUAUCUUAUGUGUUUCAGCCUUCUGAUAACUUAUCUUCAGUUGCUUCAACAUUUGGAGUUGAAACACAAUCUAUUGUUGAUGUUAAUGGCAAUAACAUCCAGCCUUAUGAUACCAUAUUCGUUCCAGUCUAUCAACUUCCACAACUGGCACAACCUACAGAUAGAGCAUUGAAAGUUAACAGAAUUGGAACCUGAUGGUGAUGCUUGAUAAUAUUAAACGAAUGGCAUCUUGUUCUGGAAAUCCUAGCUAUUCUAAGCAUGAAUGUGGAGAAUCUUAUUGCUAUUACUCAAACAGCAUGAAACAUAUGCUUGUAUAUUCGUCCAUGGAUCAAAUUAAAUAUGUAAUUAUUAGAAUAAUUGCUAGAGACUCAAAUGAUAGAUAUGCAAGCAUGAUAAUUUAUAUGUUUUUCUAUAUCUUCAUGAAUCUAAAAACUUUUGCUUGCAUUGUAUUAUUUGAUUUACGCACCGACACUGAUAACAUUCGAGAUUAUGCCUCAAUGUAGAUGCUACAUAAUUGAUUUUCAUCUUUUAGAGACUACAAGUAUAAUAGGAGCAUCCAUCAAAAAAAAAAUCAUCCUAAGAUAAUCAUCUCAUGACUAUUGAAAACAAAUCAAAUUAAAUGGUUGUAUUUCUCAAUCUUUCUUACUUGCUCCUACAGAACCAAGAGGUUGAAAAGAUUGAGAAAAAUCCAUUCACAACCGCUUAUGAAGGAUUUCUCGAAAAGUUAAAGAAUUAGUAAUCUAUUUUAGAAAUCAAAUGGAUUGAGUUUUAUACAUAGGCGAGGAAGAUAAUCAAAAAAGAACGCUGAUGGUAGAAAAAUAUAUAAAGACUAAGAAAUAUUAUUUCAAUCGUAAAAAAAGUUGAGUUUAUGUGAACAUGUAUGACGGGUUUUAUUCAAAAUCAAAAUGAAUGAUUCGGAUGAGUUUUGUUUUUUUAACUAUAAUCUUGUUAUUUAUCAAAAUUAGUUGAUUGUAACUCUUUUAAAUUCGAUGAAGUAUUUGUUAUUUAUUUAGACCAUGUUUAUUUCUUAAAAGUAGUUUCUGGAAAACCACUUUCUAAAUUUUUAUAUGUUUGUUUGUUAUUAUAAAAGAUGGCCAACGGAAAACACUUUUCAGUUAAAGAAAAACAUUUUUCGGUCAAUGAAAAACACUUUCCAGUCAAAGGAAAAUUUGGCUUGGUUUCCAGGAAAGUAUUUUCUCUUUUGGCUGUGUUUGUUUUCCGAAAAGUGAUUUUCAGGAAACUACUUUCCAAACUUUCAUAUGUUUAUUUGUCAUUAGAAAUGUUAGUCAACGGAAAACACUUUUCAGUCAAAAGAAAAUUUGGUUUGGUUUUCAGGAAAGUGUUUUUCUGAAAAAUUUAGGCAUAAAACACUUUCCGGAAAUUGUGAAAAAUUAAAAAAUAUCAUUAUUUGCUGAUUAUAUCAAAUUUGAUCCUCAAACUUUUGAUAGCUAUAUAUAUUUUGUUUUGAAUAUUUAUUUUUCAAUUUCAUCUCUUAAAAUUUAAUUUUUAUAUUAACUUUGGUCCUUAUUUUUAUAAUUGCUAUUUGCUUUUUUCUUAUCAUUUUUUUAUUGAAAUUUUUUAUUUAUCAAAUUUGGUCCUCAUUAUUUUUUUGAUUGUUACUUAUUUUAUUUGAAAUAAUUUAUGAAAUGUUAAUUAUUAUUAUUUUAAUUUCUUCAUCUUUUAUUUUUUUUAAUUUUUUAGAUUUGAUCUCUAUUAUUUUGAUUAUUAUUUAUUUUAUUUGAGAUAAUUUAUGAAAUUAUAUUUUUUUUCAAUUUCAUUCUCAUUCAACCUUUUAAUUUGUAAGGUUUGUUCCUUAUUAUUUUAAUAAACUUGAAAAAAAUAAAAUAUUAAUAAGUUAUUUUCCAGCUUAUUUUCCAUAACAUAACUAAACACUAAAAAAUAUUUUUCAAUUUAUUUUUUAUUACACUACCUAACAUCAAAAAAUUCACUUUUUUAAAAUUUACUUUUUGAAGAUACACUUUCUUUGAAGAGAAAAAUUUCUUUUCAGCAAAUAAAUUACACUAAUUUUAAAUAAUCCAUCCAUUGAAGCUGACUGAAAGUCCACGAAGGUGGGAUCCAGCAGGUGGUUGGACCCCUUUCAUUGAUGGAAGAAGAGAAAAACGUGACCAUAUUAUUGACUAGCUGACUAAUAUCACCUUGACCUUGAAACCAUAGACAUCUUUACCUUCUUCUUUAAAACAAAACAUUGCAAGGCAGAAAAGCAGAACUAUCAAGAGCCAAAAUGAGACCCGGAUCCCGUUUAGUCUCUUCUCUCCUCUUCUUUCUCUCUUACAGUAAUAUCCUCCACCAUUUGCAAGCCCAGCCAAGCACUCAAGGGUUCACCUGCCCAGCCAACCAGAGUUCCUUUCCAUGUCAAACCUAUGCCUUCUACCGAGCCUCAGCUCCUAACUUCCUUGACCUUGCCUCAAUCGGUGACCUUUUCUCGGUUAGCCGCCUUAUGAUAUCAAAACCAAGUAACAUCUCCUCUCCAACCUCACCUCUCAUCCCCAAUCAACCCCUCUUUGUCCCUUUAUCAUGUUCUUGCAACCCCAUCAAUAGCACUAGCAUUUCCUCUGCAAACAUCACAUAUACCAUCGAGGCAGGCAACACUUUCUACAUUGU